rnacentral:rRNA from 1 species
CCUACGGGUGGCAGCAGUGGGGAAUAUUGCGCAAUGGGCGAAAGCCUGACGCAGCGACGCCGCGUGAGGGAUGAAGGUCUUCUGAUCGUAAACCUCCGUUAGUAGGGAAGAACGGUCACUGUGCUAAUCAGCAGUGCAUUGACGGUACCUGCAAAGGAAGCACCGGCUAACUCCGUGCCAGCAGCCGCGGUAAUACGGAGGGUGCGAGCGUUAAUCGGAAUUACUGGGCGUAAAGGGCUCGUAGGCGGUAUGUCAAGUCAAGGGUGAAAGCCCCGGGCUCAACGUGGGAACUGCCGUUGAAACUGGCAGACUGGAGUGUAUGAGAGGAAGGUGGAAUUCCAGGUGUAGCAGUGAAAUGCGUAGAUAUCUGGAAGAACAUCAGUGGCGAAGGCGGCUAGCUGGAACGUAACUGACGCUGAGGAGCGAAAGCGUGGGUAGCAAACAGGAUUAGAUACCCGAGUAGUC